CUACGUGCCAGCAGCCGCGGUAAUACGUAGGUGGCAAGCGUUGUCCGGAAUUAUUGGGCGUAAAGCGCGCGCAGGCGGAUUGGUCAGUCUGUCUUAAAAGUUCGGGGCUUAACCCCGUGAUGGGAUGGAAACUGCCAAUCUAGAGUAUCGGAGAGGAAAGUGGAAUUCCUAGUGUAGCGGUGAAAUGCGUAGAUAUUAGGAAGAACACCAGUGGCGAAGGCGACUUUCUGGACGAAAACUGACGCUGAGGCGCGAAAGCCAGGGGAGCGAACGGGAUUAGAUACCCCGGUAGUCCUGGCCGUAAACGAUGGGUACUAGGUGUAGGAGGUAUCGACCCCUUCUGUGCCGGAGUUAACGCAAUAAGUACCCCGCCUGGGGAGUACGACCGCAAGGUUGAAACUCAAAGGAAUUGACGGGGGCCCGCACAAGCGGUGGAGUAUGUGGUUUAACUCGACGCAACGCGAAGAACCUUACCAGGUCUUGACAU
rnacentral:rRNA from 1 species